GACGAACGCUGGCGGCGUGCUUAACACAUGCAAGUCGAACGGAAAGGCCUCUUUCUGGGGGUACUCGCGUGGCGAACGGGCGAGUAACACGCGCGUAACCUGCCCUUCUCUUUGGGAUAACUUCCGGAAACUGGGGCUAAUACCGGCUAGGAGCUCCUGCUGCCUGGAGGGGGCUGGAAAGUUUCGCGGGUUGGGGGUGGGUUCGCGGCUUAUCCGCUUCUUGUUGGGGUGGUGGCUUACCAAGGCUUUGACGGGUAGCCGGCCUGUGAGGGUGACAGGCCGCAUUGGGACUGAGAGACGGCACAGGUACCGAAGCGAGGGAGAAGUGGGGAAGAUUGCAGGAUGGGUGGAAGCCUGGUGCAGCAACGCCGUGUGCGGGAUGACGGCGUUCGGGUUGUAAACCGCAUUCGCUCGUGACGAAGCUUGGUGUGACGGUAGUGGGUAAAAAAGCACCGGCUAACUACGUG
rnacentral:rRNA from 1 species